rnacentral:lncRNA from 1 species
CUGGUAGAAGUUCUAAAUUAUAGAACAAGUUAGAACUAACUGGUGGUGAUGGAAGGGAGGAAAUCACAAGGGAAACUUGAAAAAGAGUUGAAUAUGUACCUAUUAAGUGGUUGUUGGAUCCUUUUCUGAAAAUGGAUAGUUAAUGAUACCACCACUAUCAGGAUGAGCAGCAAUUUCCCACUGAUGAAUACUUUCCCUGAGGCUUUUCUACUCUUUGCUCAUCCCCAAUUUCUUUC